GGUCAGGAAUCGGGCAUGUUGCUCGAAGAAGGACACUCAAGGAAAUGGCCAUGGCUCCAGCUGGCCCAGUAGCCUUCACAGUGGGUCGCGGCGUAGUGGCGGUUGCUGGCGUGCUGGGCAUUGGAGCACUCUGCUACUAUGGCCUGGGCAUGUCUAACGAAGUCGGGGCAUUGGACCGGGCAGUGAUGUGGCCAUAGUUCGUCAAGGACCGUAUCAGAGACACGUACAUGUAUUUUGGCGGUGGGCUCGUAAUAACGGCUUCAUCUGCCUUAGCUGUAGCAAGGACACCCGCCCUUAUGAAUAUCAUGAUGAAGAACUCAUGGCUGGCAAUAGGUGCGACAUUUGCUGCAAUGAUUGGCACUGGAAUGGUUGCGAGAUCGAUUCCCUACCAGAAGGGCUUCGGUACCAAGCAG